rnacentral:rRNA from 1 species
UACGGGGGGAGCAAGCGUUGUUCGGAUUUACUGGGCGUAAAGCGUGCGCAGGCGGUUUUGUAAGUCUGUCGUGAAAUCCCCGGGCUCAACCUGGGAAUUGCGAUGGAGACUGCAAGGCUAGAAUCUGGCAGAGGGGGGUAGAAUUCCACGUGUAGCAGUAAGAAUGCUGAUGAGAGAUGGUGAGGAACACCGAUGGCGAAGGCAGCCCCUGGGUCAAGAUUGACGCUCAUGCACGAAAGGCGUGGGGAGCAAACAGG